rnacentral:rRNA from 1 species
GGAGGGGUGCAAGCGUUGUUCGGAAUUAUUGGGCGUAAAGAGCGUGUAGGGCGGUUCGGUAAGUCAGAUGUGAAAGCCCUGGGCUCAACCCAGGAAGUGCAUUUGAAACUACCAGACUUGAGUACGGGAGAGGAGGGGGGAAUUCCCGGUGUAGAGGUGAAAUUCGUAGAUAUCGGGAGGAAUACCAGUGGCGAAGGCGCCCCUCUAGACCGAUACUGACGCUGAGACGCGAAAGCGUGGGGAGCAAACAGGAUUAGAUACCCUGGUAGUCCACGCCGUAAACGAUGAGCACUAGGUGUAGCGGGUAUUGACCCCUGCUGUGCCGUAGCUAACGCAUUAAGUGCUCCGCCUGGGGACUACGGUCGCAAGACUA